UACGUAGGGUGCAAGCGUUGUCCGGAAUUAUUGGGCGUAAAGAGCUCGUAGGCGGUUCGUCGCGUCGGCUGUGAAAACCUGAGGCUCAACCGUCAGGCCUGCAGUCGAUACGGGCGGACUUGAGUACUGCAGGGGAGACUGGAAUUCCUGGUGUAGCGGUGAAAUGCGCCAGAUAUCAGGAGGAACACCGGUGGCGAAGGCGGGUCUCUGGGCAGUAACUGACGUGGAGGAGCGAAAGCGUGGGGAGCGAACAGGA
rnacentral:rRNA from 1 species